ensembl:lncRNA
UUUUGUUUGUGCGGACAGACCGUCAGAAACAGAAGGAGAUAACCGAGAGAAGGAGCGACUCCGCGACCCACGACAGCCGCUCCGGGAACCGCCGGGGGACGAAAGAGUGCCCGAAUCCUGUCCGUGCUAUCCGGGGAGAAAAAGCGUCACGAAAACCGAUAAGACGUCAGUGGGGGGAAAACCGAGUCGGUGACAUAUAUAUGUGUAUAUGUAUGCAUGAGAAGGAAAUACUCCGAAAAAAUCCUAGGAAGGGGGUGUUUGCGGAGCGGAGACGGGGAGGAGAGGCGGAAGAGGACGGUGUCUCAUAACGAGGGGGGGAAAAACCUGCCAAAAAAAGAGAGGAGGGAAAACAUCAACAUGAAAAAUCAUAAUGUGUCCGUCGCGGAGGAAGGAGAGAGCCCGCAUAGACAAUUAUAUAAAUAAAUUGCUGCCGGGCAGAAGAGAGAGGAUUUUGUCAGCCAAAAAUAUUUCAAGGAGGAGGGGGUGUCAACAUAAUUGUGCCGAUCUGAAGCUUUCCGCUUCCGAAAUAGCCGUCAGAUUUUGAUCAAUUUUUCUCCAGUCGCCGUUGAUCCUCUGCUUUUGCUUCAGAGCUUUUUUCUUUUUUCCUCCUCCACGCGUGGCCAAGACAUCCUUAAAAGCGACGAUAUUUGUGACUUAAUCUGAGGUUUUUUCUCUAAAGUGUUUUUUUUAAAUACCAGGAGAGGAACCUCUUGUGGAGCACAAGAUAAGUAACCCAACAGACCGUCCUCUGCAAGAGAGGAAAAAUACUGAUUGGAUCAAUCUGACUGCCCGCUGAUAGGAAAUUUGCGCUGUGAUCGUCCUCGGGAAGUGUACGGAGAGAUAAAGUGUGCAUGUGGGAGAUUGCACAAGAACUGUGAUUUUUUUUUCCCCUUCUUUUUUGGUCUUGAAGAUCUUCUGUUUGCAGCCGUGCUGACUGCAAGACAUCUCGCGCAAGCGGGUUGCAACAACCACUACGUGCAAUACGAGUCCUGUUCUUUCUGACUACAGUGCCUUUUGCAUGGUCAAACACUUAAGUGCACAAACAAGUCGGCAUGUACAUGCAGAACACAACGAAUUCUAUCAUUGGGUUAUAUGUAGUGAGACAUAUACAGCCGCGAUAGACUUAUUUUUUACCCGAGAAACCGUAAGCCCGGCGCGUCGUCCUCUCUGUGCAGCUGACUAAUUUCUUCAGCUACUUUAAAAC